rnacentral:rRNA from 1 species
AUUGAACGCUAGCGGCAGGCCUAACACAUGCAAGUCGAACGAGUGGCGGACGGGUGAGUAAUGUCUGGGAAACUGCCCGGUGGAGGGGGAUAACUACUGGAAACGGUAGCUAAUACCGCAUACUAUCGGAUGUGCCAAGAUGGGAUUAGCUAGUAGGUGGGGUAAAGGCUCACCAAGGCGACGAUCCCUAGCUGGUUUGAGAGGAUGACAAGCCACACUGGGACUGAGACACGGUCCAGACUCCUACGGGAGGCAGCAGUGGGGAAUAUUGGACAAUGGGGGCAAGCCUGAUGCAGCCAUGCCGCGUGUAUGAAGAAGGCCUUCGGGUUGUAAAGUACUUUCGGCGGGGAAGCGUUACCCGCAGAAUAAGCACCGGCUAACUCCGUGCCAGCAGCCGCGGUAAUUC